GUCAACACAAACUUGUACCAUGUACGUUCUGCGACGUUACCAAGUAAAACGCGACAAUUUACCCGGUAAGUAAGCUGAAACUGUACUGUAAAAGGAAGCCUCGUUCGUUUCCAUGGUAUUACCAGGUUCUUACCAUAUCAUUUGUAAUACGUUAUUCCCUUUUCCAUGCAGUCAACACAAACUUGUACCAUGUACGUUCUGCGACGUUACCAAGUAAAACCCGACAAUUUACCCGUCAACACAAACUUGUACCAUGUACGUUCUGCGACGUUACCAAGUAAAACCCGACAAUUUACCCGGUAAGUAACCUGAAACUGUACUGUAAAAGGAAGCCUCGUUUGUUUCCAUGGUAUUACCAGGUUCUUACCAUAUCAUUUGUAAUACGUUAUUCCCUGUUCCAUGCAGUCAAAACAAACUUGUACCAUGUACGUUCUGCGACGUUACCAAGUAAAACACGACAAUUUACCCAGUA
ensembl:lncRNA